rnacentral:lncRNA from 10 species
CUAAAGUCAAAGAAGGACAGAAUUUCCUUGUUCUGAGGUAUUACCCAGUCCUGAGGAUGCCAAUGAAAGCUCCCAAACCUCACACAAUCCUAUACAGUGGGUCCUCUCCCUGCAGCCUUGUGGGGCAGGAGAGGAAACUGUUCCCAACGGCUGCCUGAGGUCAACUCUGCAUCUGGACCCAUUUCACAGCCCAGAGCCCUGGAGCUGUGGCUCUCUGUCCCUUACCUGUCAUUCCUCCAGGCAACAGAGACAAUAGGUUGACCACCUGUGUGCCUCCUUCCCCCUACUCAGGUGAACCCAUGUCUGAGGUUCCACUGGCCACCCGUGACUCUGCCUCACUCUGGAGCACAACAUGUGGAGGGAAGAGCCUGGGACCCAGGUGCACACAGGAAACCUGGGCUCGAAACUGAGCUCAGCUAUUGACCCGCUGGAUUUCCUCGGACAUAAUUUCACUUCUCCAGGUGUGACAUAGACUGUUCAGCUGUUCACCAAGUAUGUUUUUUUUUCCUUCCUGUGCACACAGCAAGACUAUGUCCACCAGCCUCCUCUGU